GAAACGGUGGCUAAUACCGCAUAACGUCGCAAGACCAAAGAGGGGGACCUUCGGGCCUCUUGCCAUCAGAUGUGCCCAGAUGGGAUUAGCUUGUUGGUGAGGUAACGGCUCACCAAGGCGACGAUCCCUAGCUGGUCUGAGAGGAUGACCAGCCACACUGGAACUGAGACACGGUCCAGACUCCUACGGGAGGCAGCAGUGGGGAAUAUUGCACAAUGGGCGCAAGCCUGAUGCAGCCAUGCCGCGUGUAUGAAGAAGGCCUUCGGGUUGUAAAGUACUUUCAGCGGGGAGG
rnacentral:rRNA from 1 species